rnacentral:lncRNA from 1 species
AUGGACUGGGUUGUCCUGUUUGGACCUGAUGAAACACUGUAUAUGCUGCCUAGAAUUAGAAAGAGUAUGGAUCACUCCAAAAGGAGAAGACAUUCUCUUGAGGAUCAGGGCAAAUCAGACUUUCAGCCUUCCUCUGCAAACAGCAACACUUCUACUAUGAAUAAUUAUACUCAUGCCAUCCCUCCUUCAGCAAACUGUUUGGGUCGGAGUCUCAGGAAGCUUGUCUGGUGGAGUAAAAAGCAGAAGAGAUCCUUGAUCCCAUGGAGUGGACUGAAUGACCUUUGAUGCCUCAGUUCUGAGAUUCUAACAACUAAGCAAUUAUAGUAACUAAGUUUUUUUUCCCCCUUUGUCUCAAUGACUUCUAUUAGUAUCAUGAAUGUGAAGGCUGAUUUGAGGGCACGUUUACUACUUGCCUUUAGCACCAAAAUUGAUAGUUACUAGUCUUGGGUUUCAGGCAAUCAAUUUCAGAUUAGAUAUAGAAAGUACUAAAAAGUACAGUUUUAGGCAAAAAAGGAGACAGUGAUGGUGAAAUGGGGGGAGGUACAAUUUAGGGGGGGAUCUGAUUAAUUUGUGCUAUUUCAUACUCAUGAGUUCCAGAGAUGCCAAUAUUGAUCUAAUGCCCUACAAAGUACAAGAAUCCCCCUUUGUAUGUGAUUCCUCUUUCCUAGUUAACAUAGGUAUCAAAUCUCUAAGGAAUAACAUAUAUACUUCCUCUUAUCUGCCCAUUAUCUGUUAACAAAUGUUGCCUGAGCAAGGCUAGGAACUUAGACUGAAUCUAAAAAUCCCAGAACUACUGAGUUCUGUGCAAAGGGUGACCCUAUGGAGGGUACAUCUAGUUCAUGAGAACCAACUGAAAAUUUAAGUGUUUGAUACAGCUUCAAGGCAGAUUGUUUGUGUUCAGUGUGGCAGCCUAGCCCCAUAGCACAUUAUUUCUAAAUACCAUGAUCACACACUGGUCCCAGUACUGACCAUAUUCCUAGAGAUAGGCUGGUCAAAUCUGACUGCAGAUGGAUAAUAUUCAGCUAGUACUUUAUUGGGUCAGAGUAACUCAGAUCCCCUAUCUGGUACUAAUAUCCAUAGACUCGUCUUGCUAUUGAUUAUCUGAGAAGCAAUCUUUCUUCCUACAUCCUAAGACACAGUUCAGGCAAGCAUACCAUUUUUCAGAACUGACUGAUUUUGUUUUCAGUUACUAUAUUUCUAUUGGGUAUUCAGUUCCUUAUGUUCCUCCUUCCCUCCCCACCACCCAUUCCUGUAGAAGCUUCUAACUACCAAGAAGACCACAGCAAGAUUUCAACAGGCCUCCUUGGUCCAUGAACUUAAAAGCGUAUAAAUUAUCAUCCUUCCUGGUCUUCUUAAGCAACCUUGUGCUCUGUGGUGGCAGCUGUGAGUAGGCAAAAGUAGACUGAGAUGAGAUCAGUCCCAGUAGGGUUGAUAUUCUCUAAGGAUCAAGAAGUGGAAAAGGUUCCCCAGUUGAUAAAUGGUCAAAAGAUAACAGGCAGUUUUCAGAUGAAGAAAUUGAAGCUAUCUAUAGUCAUAUUAAAAAAUGUUCUAAAUCACUAUUGAUUAGAGAAAUGCAAAUCAAAACAACUCUGAGAUACCACAUCAUACCCAUAAGAGUGGGCAACAUGAUAAAACAGGAAAAUGAUAAAUAUUGGAGAUGAUGUGGGAAAAAUGGAACACUAAUGCAUUGUUGGUAGAGUUGUGAAAUGAUCCAGCCAUUUUGGAGAACAAUUUGUAACUAUGCCCAAAGGGCUAUAAAAAUGUGCAAACCCUUUGACCCAGCAAUAGCACUUAUAGGGCUGUAUCCCAAAGAGAUCAUAAAACUGGGAAAAAGGACCCACAUGUACAAAAAAUAUUUAUAGCAGCUCUUUCUGUGGUGGCAAAGAAUUGGAAAUUUAGGGGAUGCCCAUCAAUUGGGGAAUGGAUGAACAAGUUGUGGUAUAUGAAUAUAAUGGAAUACUGUUGUGCUAUGAGAAAUGAUGAGCAGGUGGACUUCAGAAAAACUGGGAUGACUUGUAUGGACUGAUGCUGAGUGAAGUGAGCAGAACCAGGAGAAUGUUAUACAUAGUAACAGCCACAUUAUGUGAUGACUAACUUUGAUAGACUUAGCUCUUCUCAGCAAUCUAAGACGUCUCCAAAAGUCUCAUAUUGGAAAAUGCUAUGCACAUCCAGAAAAAGAACUAUGGAGCUUGAAUGCAGAUCGAAGCAUACAUUUGCUUUUUUUUUUCCUUCUGUUUUGUUUGCUCUUUCUUGUGGUUCCUCCUAUUGGUUCUAAUUCUUCCUUACAACAUGACUAAUCUGAAAAUUUAAAAAAGUUGCUUGACAAAAUAAAAUAAAAUCCUGCUUAAAAAAAAAAGAAUUG